UUGAUCCUGGCUCAGGAUGAACGCGAGCGGCAGGCCUAACACAUGCAAGUCGAGGGGUAAGGUUCAGCUUGCUGAACACACGACCGGCGCACGGGUGAGUAUCGCGUUUGCAACUUACCUCUAACUGGGACAUAGCCCGAAGAAAUUCGGAUUAAUAUCCCAUAAUAUAUUGAAGAGGCAUCUCUUUAAUAUCAAAGCUCAGGCGGUUAGAGAUGGGCAUGCGUGUCAUUAGCUUGUUGGUGAGGUAACGGCUCACCAAGGCUACGAUGACUAGGGGGUCUGAGAGGAUGAUCCCCCACACUGGUACUGAGACACGGACCAGACUCCUACGGGAGGCAGCAGUGAGGAAUAUUGGGCAAUGGACGCAAGUCUGACCCAGCCAUGCCGCGUGCAGGAUGACGGCCCUAUGGGUUGUAAACUGCUUUUAUUAGGGAAGAAUGGUUCCUACGUGUAGGGAUUUGACGGUACCUAAAGAAUAAGCAUCGGCUAACUCCGUGCCAGCAGCCGCGGUAAUACGGAGGAUGCAAGCGUUAUCCGGAUUCAUUGGGUUUAAAGGGUGCGUAGGCGGAAUAUUAAGUCAGUGGUGAAAUCCUGCAGCUUAACUGUAGAACUGCCAUUGAUACUGGUAUUCUUGAAUAUAGUUGAGGUGGGCGGAAUGUGUAAUGUAGCGGUGAAAUGCUUAGAUAUUACACAGAACACCGAUUGCGAAGGCAGCUCACUAAACUAAUAUUGACGCUGAGGCACGAAAGCGUGGGGAGCGAACAGGAUUAGAUACCCUGGUAGUCCACGCUGUAAACUAUGAUCACUCGCUGUUGGCAAUACAUCGUCAGCGGCUGAGCGAAAGCAUUAAGUGAUCCACCUGGGGAGUACGGUCGCAAGAUUUGAAACUCCAAGGAAUUGACGGGGGCCCGGACAAUCGGAGGAACCUGUGGUUUAAUUCGAUGAUACGCGAGGAACCUUACCUGGGCUU
rnacentral:rRNA from 1 species